GAUGAACGCUAGCGGGAGGCCUAACACAUGCAAGCCGAGCGGUAUAGAAUCUUCGGAUUUUAGAGAGCGGCGUACGGGUGCGGAACACGUGUGCAACCUACCUUUAUCUGGAGGAUAGCCUUUCGAAAGGAAGAUUAAUACUCCAUAAUAUAUUGAUUGGCAUCAAUUAAUAUUGAAAGCUCCGGCGGAUAGAGAUGGGCACGCGCAAGAUUAGUUAGUUGGUGAGGUAACGGCUCACCAAGACGAUGAUCUUUAGGGGGCCUGAGAGGGUGAUCCCCCACACUGGUACUGAGACACGGACCAGACUCCUACGGGAGGCAGCAGUGAGGAAUAUUGGACAAUGGGUGCAAGCCUGAUCCAGCCAUCCCGCGUGAAGGACGACUGCCCUAUGGGUUGUAAACUUCUUUGUAUAGGGAUAAACCUCUCCUCGUGAGGAGAGCUGAAGGUACUAUACGAUAAGCACCGGCUAAACUCCGUGCCAGCAGCCGCGGUAA
rnacentral:rRNA from 1 species